rnacentral:rRNA from 1 species
AUUGAACGCUGGCGGCAGGCCUAACACAUGCAAGUCGAACGAGUGGCGGACGGGUGCGUAAUGUCUGGGAAACUGCCUUAUGGAGGGGGCUACCUACUGGAAACGGUAGCUAAUACCGCAUACCAUCAAAUGUGCACAGAUGGGAUUCGCGUGUUGGUGGGGUAACUGCUCACCAAGGCGACGAUCCCUAGCUGGUCUGAGAGGAUGAACAGCCACACUGGAACUGCGACACGGUCCAGACUCCUACGGGAGGCAACAGUGGGGAAUAUUGCACAAUGGGCGCAAGCCUGAUGCAGCCAUGCCGCGUGUAUGAAGAAGGCCUUCGGGUUGUAAAGUACUUUCAGCGGGGAGGCGUUACCCGCAGAAGAAGCACCGGCUAACUCCGUGCCAGCAGCCGCGGUAAUUC